UACGAAGGGAGCUAGCGUUGUUCGGAAUUACUGGGCGUAAAGCGCACGUAGGCGGAUGUGUCAGUCAGGGGUGAAAUCCCGGAGCUCAACUUCGGAACUGCCUUUGAUACAGCACGUCUUGAGUCCGGAAGAGGUGGGUGGAAUUCCUAGUGUAGAGGUGAAAUUCGUAGAUAUUAGGAAGAACACCGGUGGCGAAGGCGGCCCACUGGUCCGGUACUGACGCUGAGGUGCGAAAGCGUGGGGAGCAAACAGG
rnacentral:rRNA from 1 species